rnacentral:rRNA from 1 species
GACGAACGCUGGCGGCGUGCUUAACACAUGCAAGUCGAACGGAAAGGCCUCUUUCGGGGGGUACUCGAGUGGCGAACGGGUGAGUAACACGUGAGUAACCUGCCCUUGACUUUGGGAUAACUUCCGGAAACUGGGGCUAAUACCGGAUAGGCGCUCCUGCUGCAUGGUGGGGGUUGGAAAGUUUCGGCGGUUGGGGAUGGACUCGCGGCUUAUCAGCUUGUUGGUGGGGUAGUGGCUUACCAAGGCUUUGACGGGUAGCCGGCCUGAGAGGGUGACCGGCCACAUUGGGACUGAGAUACGGCCCAGACUCCUACGGGAGGCAGCAGUGGGGAAUAUUGCACAAUGGGUGGAAGCCUGAUGCAGCAACGCCGUGUGCGGGAUGACGGCCUUCGGGUUGUAAACCGCUUUCGCUCAUGACGAAGCUUUGUGUGACGGUAGUGGGUAAAGAAGCACCGGCUAACUACGUG